rnacentral:rRNA from 1 species
UACGUAGGCAGCGAGCGUUGUUCGGAGUUACUGGGCGUAAAGGGCGCGUAGGCGGGCUGCCAAGUCCGGGGUGAAACCCGCCGGCUCAACCGGCGGACGGCCCCGGGUACUGGCGGCCUCGAGGCGGGUAGGGGCGGGCGGAACACUGGGUGGAGCGGUGAAAUGCGUUGAUAUCCAGUGGAACUCCGGUGGCGAAGGCGGCCCGCUGGACCCGAUCUGACGCUGAGGCGCGAAAGCCAGGGGAGCGAACGGG